AAACAGGGUGCCAGGUGUGAAAAAUAUAUUUACUGGCUUGCCCUGGUGCAGAUGUAGCCUUCAUGGAAUACUGACACAAUCACACUGCUCUAAUAUUUCUGUAAACUUUACAGUGAAGGGGAUCGUGACAAAUGCAUGGAGAUUUUCCUUCACUUUAACCAAAAAUAUUCAUUGUUCAAGAACAAUGGAAAACCUGAACAGCUGAAAUCCUGAUGCACAACUUUACACCAUGUAAGACUCAUGACAUAAUCAGCUACAGCCACGAAUGAAAAAUUUACAAUCCCAAACCAGUAUCUUUUUAGGGUAUGGUGCAACUCCCAUUAUAUACUGAAAAUGUGAUAUUCAGACUUGUUUUACAUUAUUCACAAACAGGAAGAUUCUGACAUAUAUUUCCUGAAUUAGAGAAGCUCCAACCUGAGAACUAGUCUACUGACUAAUUGACAUGAUAACUUACAUCCUUAUGGUCUUUCAAGUAGGCUGGGUGCCAAGAUACCUUGGGGAACUCUCUCUCAAAUUCCAUGACCUUCCAGGGCAGAUGCACUCCUGCAGCACAAUGGAAAUUAUCCGUCACAGCGACGGGGCUGGUAAGGGCAGAAGCACUUUCAGCAGCCGCAGCUGGGCCACAGCUUUAGAAGCUCCCUCAACAAUAGGGUUUUUAAAAAAAACUUAGAAAAACAUUGACCAUGGAUUUUUCUCCUCACUUGAGACUGGGCUACUAUAUUUGUACUGCAGUUUUCACCAUUAAACAAUAGAGCCAAUACUCUGAGGCAAGUAGAAAGCUUAACUGCACCUUCACCUCUCUGCCUUCCCAUUCAUAUACCAGUAAGGGGUGCAGGAUCAAACAUUAACUUUCUGAACUAUGCAAAUUAUUCAAAAGACCAAAUAUAGGAGUUUUAUUCACCUUUUAAUAGUGAUAUACAGAGCUACAAGAUGCAUUUCCAAAACAAAGAGGUGUAUGGAACUGUAAUGGUCUCAUUUAAGAAGCAUCUUUCCAAAAUAAAGGAUAUCCAGAAGCUAAUAGGCA
rnacentral:lncRNA from 1 species